UGCCUUUGUGUUGCCCAUUCAUUUCACCAAUGUUUGUGGUGUCAAGAAAGGCAUAAAAAAAGUCCUUCUGCAGCAUUAUUUGAUGUUGGGAAUUAAUCUCUCCCAUGAUUCUGCUAUAUAAGGGACAGUU